CAUAAGCAAAUUAAGGGCGUAUGGGGAAUGCCUAGGCUCUCAGAGGCGAUGAAGGACGUGAUAAGCUGCGAUAAGCUGUGGGGGAUUGCACAUACAAUUUGAUCCGCAGAUUUCCGAAUGGGGCAACCCGGCAUAUUGAAGAUAUGUCAUCUGUAAAGAAGCAAACCCGGUGAACUGAAACAUCUAAGUAGCCGGAGGAAGAGAAAACAAAAGUGAUUCCGCUAGUAGUGGCGAGCGAACGCGGAAUAGCCCAAACCAAUUAGGUCAAGGCCUAAUUGGGGUUGUAGGACCACGACAUUUGAUGCAUAAUGAAUUAGAAUCCUUUGGAAAAAGGAGCCAUAGAAGGUGAUAGCCCUGUAUAGGUAAAGAAUGUUAUUGAUAGUGGUAUCCUGAGUAGUGCGGGGGGCACGUGAAACCCUGUAUGAAUCAAGCGGGACCAUCCGCUAAGGCUAAAUACUCCUGAGAGACCGAUAGUGAACCAGUACCGUGAGGGAAAGGUGAAAAGAACCUGAAUAAGGGAGUGAAAUAGAUCCUGAAACCAUACGCUUACAAGCGGUCGGAGCCCCCUUUGGGGGGGUGACGGCGUGCCUUUUGCAUAAUGAGCCUACGAGUUACCGUUGUUAGCAAGGUUAAGUACUUCAGGUACGUAGCCGUAGCGAAAGCGAGUCUGAAUAGGGCGUAUAGUUAGCAGUGGUAGACGCGAAACCGUGUGAUCUACCCAUGGGCAGGGUGAAGCUGUGGUAACACACAGUGGAGGCCCGAACCGGUUGACGUUGAAAAGUCUUCGGAUGACCUGUGGGUAGGGGGGGUGAAAGGCCAAUCAAACUCGGAAAUAGCUCGUACUCCCCGAAAUGCAUUUAGGUGCAGCGUUGAUUUAGUUUUAUAGAGGUAGAGCUACUGAUUGGAUGCGGGGGGCUUCACCGCCUACCAAUUCCUGACAAACUCCGAAUGCUAUAAAAUGAUGAUCAGCAGUGAGGGCAUGGGUGCUAAGGUCCAUGUCCGAAAGGGAAAGAACCCGGACCAUCAGCUAAGGUCCCCAAAUAUAUGUUAAGUUGAAUAAACGAGGUUGUACUGCAUUGACAGCUAGGAUGUUGGCUUGGAAGCAGCCAUUCAUUUAAAGAGUGCGUAACAGCUCACUAGUCGAGCGGUACGGCAUGGAUAAUAAUCGGGCAUAAACAUAUUACCGAAGCUAUGGACUCUACGGAGUGGUAGGGGAGCAUUCUAUGGGCGUCGAAGGAGAAUUGUGAAGUUUUCUGGAGCGUAUAGAAACGAAAAUGUAGGCAUAAGUAACGAUAAAGGGAGCGAGAAACUCCCUCACCGAAAGACCAAGGUUUCCUCAGCUAUGCUAAUCAGCUGAGGGUUAGUCGGGUCCUAACGCGUACCCGAAGGGGGGAAGUGGAUGGACAACAGGUUAAUAUUCCUGUACCUGCUCACGCUAAAAGUGACGGAGGUGUAAAUCUGGUGCGUACUGACGGAAUAGUACGUUGAACUGACUUUUAAGGUCAGGAUAGUACCAUAAAGCUACGGCUGCAUGGAUAAUCCAGAGGAGCAACUUCCAAGAAAAGCAAGUGAAGCAGCCCGUACCGCAAACCGACACAGGUGUUGGGAUGAGAAUUCUAAGGUGCUCGAGAGAUUCAUGGCUAAGGAACUAGGCAAAAUUGACCUGUAACUUCGGGAGAAAGGUCCCCCCUGCAGUAAUGUGGGGCGCAGUGAAAAGAUCCAAGCGACUGUUUAUCAAAAACACAGGGCUCUGCUAAAUCGAAAGAUGAUGUAUAGGGCCUGACACCUGCCCGGUGCCGGAAGGUUAAGAGGAGGGUUUAGCUUCGGCGAAGAUCUGAAUUGAAGCCCCGGUAAACGGCGGCCGUAACUAUAACGGUCCUAAGGUAGCGAAAUUCCUUGUCGGGUAAGUUCCGACCUGCACGAAUGGUGUAACGAUUUGGAUACUGUCUCAGCCAUGAGCUCGGUGAAAUUGUAGUAUCGGUGAAGAUGCCGAUUACCCGCUACGGGACGAAAAGACCCCCCCGUGCACCUUUACUAUAGCUUAGUAUUGAUCUUGGAUAAGUAAUGUGUAGGAUAGGUGGGAGACUAUGAAGUGGCGUCGCCAGGCGUUGUGGAGUCAUUGUUGAAAUACCACCCUUUGCUUAUUUGAGACCUAACCCCCCCUAACGGGGGGGGACAUUGCUUGGUGGGUAGUUUGACUGGGGGGGUGGUCGCCUCCAAAAGAGUAACGGAGGCUUCUAAAGGUACCCUCAGCACGCUUGGUAACCGUGCGUAGAGUGUAAUGGCAUAAGGGUGCUUGACUGAGAGACUUACAAGUCGACCAGGUUGGAAACAAGAGCAUAGUGAUCCGGUGGUUCCGUAUGGAAGGGCCAUCGCUCAAAGGAUAAAAGGUACGCCGGGGGGAUAACAGGCUGAUCUCCCCCCCCAAGAGCUCACAUCGACGGGGGGGUUUGGCACCUCGAUGUCGGCUCGUCACAUCCUGGGGGGGCUGGAGAAGGUCCCAAGGGUUGGGCUGUUCGCCCAUUAAAGUGGCACGCGAGCUGGGUUCAGAACGUCGUGAGACAGUUCGGUCUCUAUCUGUAGUGGGCGCAAGAAAUUUGAGUGAAUCUGACUUUAGUACGAGAGGACCGAGUUGGACUGACCGCUGGUGUACCAGUUGUUCCGCCAGGAGCACUGCUGGGUAGCUACGUCGGGAAGGGAUAAGCGCUGAAAGCAUAUAAGCGCGAAACCCAUCACAAGAUGAGAUUUCUUUAAAGGGUCGUGGGAGACUACCACGUUGAUAGGUCAUAGGUGUAAAGGCAGUAAUGUCAUAGCCGAGUGAUACUAAUUACCCGUAAGCUUAGGUAUUCUACCCUUUAGCUUUUAUAUAUAAUAUUUAUUA
rnacentral:rRNA from 1 species